CGAUAGAUCGGCGUGUGUCCUGGAUACGGGAUAGGAUGGCAGCCAUCAAUUCGGCCCCAAAACACUUUCCGGUUAGUACUCCUGCCGAAAGCAAAAGCGAAGCCAAUUAAACUCACCAUCACCAAUGGAAAGGCCGCAGCUGGGGAGCGCCGCGUAAUCCUCUUUGCUGUUCACGCACUCCCCCUCCCCAAUCCCACUCGGUGCUCGCUAGCUGCUCUCUCCAGCCGCCGGCCGGAGGAAGGCAAGAAUGCGGAAGGAAUCCACCGGCGGCGGCGGCGGCAUUGCGGCUGCUAGUCCGCCCCCCGCGCUCCUCUGCUUCGACCUCAAGCCCUUCCUCGCCGCGCUCACCGUGGUCACGCUCCUCACCGCCGCCUGGCAGCUCCGGCCCUACUACCAGUACCACUCCAUCCUCGCCUCCUCCCCCUUCCCCGCCUGCCCCGACCCGCCGGCCUCUUCCUCGCCGCCUCGCCUGCUCGCCAUCGACGGCAAGGCCUCCAAAUCGAAUGCAUCUUCCUCCUCGUCGCCACUGCCGAAGCAGGAUGAGCGGCGUGCCGCGCCGGACCCCAACAGGCGGGAGUUCCGCGCGGUGGGGAGCGCCGCGGCGCUGUUCGUGCAGAUGGGGGCCUACCGCGGCGGGCCGUACACCUUCGCCGUUGUUGGGCUGGCCUCCAAGCCCACCCAUGUAUACGGCAAGCCCUGGUUCCGCUGCGAGUGGGUGCCCAACAACGCCUCCCAGCCGACGCGCGCGGGCAAGGCGUACCACAUGCUCCCGGACUGGGGCUACGGCCGGGUCUACACCGUCGUGGUGGUGAACUGCACCUUCUCCUCCUUCGCCCCCAACGCCGACAACGCGGGCGGCAAGCUCCUGCUCAACGCCUACUAUGGCCCUUCCCCGGCGCGGUACGAGCGCAUCGUGGCCCUGGAGGAGGCCCCCGGGGCGUACGACUCCGCCGCGUUCGCGCAGCACAGGUACGACUACCUCUACUGCGGCUCGUCCCUGUUCGGCGAGCUCAGCGCGGCGCGGGUGCGGGAGUGGAUGGCGUACCACGCGCGCUUCUUCGGCCCGCGCUCGCACUUCGUCUUCCACGACGCCGGCGGGGUGACGAGCCCCGCCGUGAGGGCCGCGCUGGAGCCGUGGGUGCGCGCCGGACGCGCCACGCUGCAGGACGUGCGCGCGCAGGCGGAGUACGACGGGUGGUACCACAACCAGUUCCUCGUCGUCAACGACUGCCUGCACCGGUACCGGCACGCGGCGAAAUGGACCUUCUUCUUCGACGUCGACGAGUACAUCUUCAUCCCCGGCGGCCGCACGCUCGAGAGCGUCAUGGCCGAGCUCGAGCCCUACACGCAGUUCACCAUCGAGCAGAACCCCAUGUCGAGCAGGUUGUGCGCACGGGAUCCCGGCGAUCCUAAAGCUGACUACUCCAACCAAUGGGGGUUCGAGAAGCUGGUUUUCCGAAAUUCGAUCACUGGGGUAAGGCGUGACAGGAAGUAUGCGAUCCAGGCCAAGAAUGCCUACGCCACGGGUGUACAUAUGUCGGAGAACGUUAUUGGCAACACCACUCACAAGACGGAGCACCUCAUCCGAUACUAUCACUACCACAAUACCAUCAAUGUGCUCGGCGAGGUAUGCCGUGAAUUUGUGCCUGUACCGCCUAAAGGUGGCGUUACAUGGUCUGAGAAGACGCCCUGGUACUACGACGACAGUAUGAAGCGCGUGGCCAACGCUGUACGGGAAUUCGAGAGGAAUACCAUUGGUAAUGUGCGAGUGUGAAUGUGGCAUUGGCAUGACCACCAGAGAACAAAAUGGUGUAUAUAUUAUAGCCAUUGGCCAUUCAUGAAGCUUGACAAGGGCAUCCCUGAUUUGAUCAGCCUAACGGGUAAGUUAUGAUCUGGAGCUCUCUGAGCCCAAAGAGAUGCGAAGAAAGCGAAGCUGUAGCUCCAAAGGAUUGGCAGAUUGUGUGCCACUACAAUUCAGAUUCUAAUCUGCAAAGAUUCUGCAGAACAGCCCAAUACAGCCAAGAAGACGGGCCAAGCCGGUUUUUUUUCAAGAAUGCAGGCCGAUGACACACUUGCUGUAACUCUGCAAUUCUGGAUCCAGAAAGCAUUACUAAUGCUUAGUGCAACCCAAACGUCAACCUUUGCAGUCUGAAAUUGCAAUAAGGGAACAGUAAACUGCAUUGCCGUUUCGACCAAAUUGGGCGUUUCCUUUAUUUCCUUUUUUCUUAACAGAAACAAUUGUAGUACUUAUCUUUUCGGAAUUGCUAGGGAGCAGUCGUUGAUUUCUCAGUCGACAGAAAAAUUGAUCCGAGAUAAAUAGGAUGACAACUCACCAUGCAUAGCAAAACCUAGUUGGAUUGGUGGUUUAACAUUAUCUGCCAUUUUGAA